AGAGUUUGAUCCUGGCUCAGAGCGAACGCUGGCGGCAGGCUUAACACAUGCAAGUCGAGCGGGCGUAGCAAUACGUCAGCGGCAGACGGGUGAGUAACGCGUGGGAACAUACCUUUUGGUUCGGAACAACACAGGGAAACUUGUGCUAAUACCGGAUAAGCCCUUACGGGGAAAGAUUUAUCGCCGAAAGAUUGGCCCGCGUCUGAUUAGCUAGUUGGUGAGGUAAUGGCUCACCAAGGCGACGAUCAGUAGCUGGUCUGAGAGGAUGAUCAGCCACAUUGGGACUGAGACACGGCCCAAACUCCUACGGGAGGCAGCAGUGGGGAAUAUUGGACAAUGGGCGCAAGCCUGAUCCAGCCAUGCCGCGUGAGUGAUGAAGGCCCUAGGGUUGUAAAGCUCUUUUGUGCGGGAAGAUAAUGACGGUACCGCAAGAAUAAGCCCCGGCUAACUUCGUGCCAGCAGCCGCGGUAAUACGAAGGGGGCUAGCGUUGCUCGGAAUCACUGGGCGUAAAGGGUGCGUAGGCGGGUAUUUAAGUCAGGGGUGAAAUCCUGGAGCUCAACUCCAGAACUGCCUUUGAUACUGAGUAUCUUGAGUACGGGAGAGGUGAGUGGAACUGCGAGUGUAGAG
rnacentral:rRNA from 2 species